CUUUGUAUGCUAUUAUUAAUUGCAAUUUGUAACAAGGGAAAUUCAAACUGCAGACCUAACUCUUUAACCGGCUUAUUUAUUAAACAGAGAAUUGUGGUAAAUGAUAAACUGAAUUCCAAUAUUAAGGCUUAACUAGCUAAGUUUUCACUUUAGCUAAACUAGAGGAUUUCUCCAAAUCAGCACUUUUUUCCUAUAUUUUGCAAUCCAGUUUUCAGUUCCCUAUAAGUCACUGUUUAGUGCAGGCUUCCCCAAACUCCGGCCCUCCAGAUGUUGCUGAACUACAACUCCCAU